UGGCUCAGAUUGAACGCUGGCGGCAGGCUUAACACAUGCAAGUCGAGCGGAGAGAGGUAGCUUGCUACUGAUCUUAGCGGCGGACGGGUGAGUAAUGCUUAGGAAUCUGCCUAUUAGUGGGGGACAACAUCUCGAAAGGGAUGCUAAUACCGCAUACGUCCUACGGGAGAAAGCAGGGGAUCUUCGGACCUUGCGCUAAUAGAUGAGCCUAAGUCGGAUUAGCUAGUUGGUGGGGUAAAGGCCUACCAAGGCGACGAUCUGUAGCGGGUCUGAGAGGAUGAUCCGCCACACUGGGACUGAGACACGGCCCAGACUCCUACGGGAGGCAGCAGUGGGGAAUAUUGGACAAUGGGGGGAACCCUGAUCCAGCCAUGCCGCGUGUGUGAAGAAGGCCUUAUGGUAGUAAAGCACUUUAAGCGAGGAGGAGGCUACUUUAGAUAAUACCUAGAGAUAGUGGACGUUACUCGCAGAAUAAGCACCGGCUAACUCUGUGCCAGCAGCCGCGGUAAUACAGAGGGUGCAAGCGUUAAUCGGAUUUACUGGGCGUAAAGCGCG
rnacentral:rRNA from 1 species